UACGAGGGGGGCGAGCGUUGUUCGGAAUUAUUGGGCGUAAAGGGUGCGUAGGCGGUUUGGUAAGUCUCUUGUGAAAACUCCGGGCUCAACUCGGAGCCUGCAGGAGAAACUGCCGGGCUUGAGUACGGGAGAGGUGAGUGGAAUUCCUGGUGUAGCGGUGAAAUGCGUAGAUAUCAGGAGGAACACCUGUGGCGAAAGCGGCUCACUGGACCAUAACUGACGCUGAUGCACGAAAGCUAGGGGAGCAAACAGG
rnacentral:rRNA from 1 species